rnacentral:lncRNA from 1 species
CUGAGUGUCGAGACAUCUGAGGGAACUUUGCCCGAGGUCGCAGCCCCCCCCGGGAGGAGACCCUCCUAGGGACCCCUUCCGCAGGGACCUGGGGCGCCUCCCACUCCCUGCUGUGCCUGCGGGCACUCUCCCCAUGACUCACUAGAGAAGAGACCUGGGAGGAACCUGGGGACGUGGGUGUGUGACCGUGGGCCGCCAGGGUCCCCUUUCAGGCUGUUUCCCUGCAGGUGAACCAAGAGCCACAGCCAAGGCAGGCGAGCAAGCGUGAUGAGCCUGCCGCCCCUCUCCAGCCAGUGGAGGUUCCCCUGCCGCUCUCGCGCCAGGACGGUUGCUCUCACUGUCUGUGAGGCCCACGCCGAAGCCCUUCGGGCAGCCCUGGGCUCCCGAGAAGAGCCUUGCUGAGCUCCUGGGAAGAGGCGUGCCCUCCCCGUCCCCCAUUGCCCCCUUGGCUGUGCACGCGUGUGCACACGGGUUCGUGCACAUGAACACAAAAGUGUCCUCGUGGACAAUGUGUGGUACUGUGUAUGCACACAGCGCACGUGUGUGCCUGGACACCAGGACAGCUGGAGUGCGGGGAAGCCGGCUCCUGUCCACGGAGGAUGCCAGUGACUGCUCACCCCCACUUCCACUUGAAGGGGAAGAUUCGACAGGACCAGUGCCUGUGGGAGAGCUGGCAAUCCGGACUGAGGAUGCCGGGUGCCUGGCACGGUGCCCACCUUCCCCUCAGUGGCUGGCACCAUCUCUCUGGCCACUGCCUUACUCAGUCUCCUCUGACAGCUCCAUGCUCAGGUGUGAAAAGGAGGGGAAAGUGAAGCCCCCUUCCCCUCGGGGCUGACCACCUCCAGGAGCUGCUUUCUUGACCACACGAGGCAUAUAUGGGGGUGUUUCUGUGCCUGGAGACUGCAGGGGGAAUGGUCUAGCAUGGACUGGGCCCUCCAGAGGAGGGGCUCCAUACCUGUUGGUUCCUCCAAGAUCUGGGGUGAGCCCGCCUGAGUAUCCCACAGCAAGUCAGAGAAGGUCCCGGAGGGAAUGUGGGCAGCAAGGUCGGGGUGGUUCCAAGGCCUUCAGAAGGAACCUUGAGGCAGCACCCACUGAAGCCAACCCCAGAAACACUCCCUCUGUGAACAGUAGCAGGGACUUCGCAGGGCUUAAGCCGAAUUUCCAGCUCAGUGUCAACCUGUGGAUUUGUGGUGAGUUUCCCUGCCCUCCCACCCUUCCUCUCUACCCUCUGAAGCCUGGCUCCAGCAUCACCUGCUCAGGCCGUCCCUGGCUCCGCUGCAGCCCCUGCCCGGACGGGAGAAGGCAUGUGCACCUCCUGCUCUGCUCCCAGCACAGCUUCUGCUCCAGCAAAGCCCACGGGCACUCAGGCCUGGUUCCUACACCCGUCACCCCUCGGAGCACCCGCCCUCACUGUCACCCAGGCCUCCUUUGUGCCUUGGACACAGAACCCCAGUUUUGUUCAAGGCAUCAAUGUACCCAGCCUCGCCAGCUGCUGGGGCCAGCUGUGACACAGUUUGCCCAGGGGAUGACUGCAGGAGGCACAAGGGAGCCUCCCGGCCCUUCGGAAGGGGCAGGUGUGGCCGCCCUCACUGAUGGCCUUCCUUUCUCCUUGCUCCAGCCUGGAGUGUGGUCACGGUGUCCCAAGAACAGCAGCCAUGUGGCCAGCGAGGGCCAGGGUCCCAGCAGCUGCCUUGGUGCCCCAAGGGCCAUGCUCAGACUCAUCAGCAUCGGGAGAACAAGCCCUUGCUCCCUUUACGGGGCUGCCUCCUUAGAUUUCGUUAGGUUUUCUGUAACUCAAGCCCAUGUCACUUCUAUUGGAGCUGAUUUGGGCUCCUAAGCUCACAGGGGGUGGGACGUCCUUCUAUUAGCUUCGUCCUGCCCGCCCCCCCUCCCCACAGCAGCAAUGGCUCCUUGCGGGCAGGCCCGAGGAAUGGCCUGGAAGAGCUUGCGAGGAGCGAGGGCACAGGAGACACCCUCCCAGGGGCAUCUUUCCCACAUGUCCCCAGGCAGCCCAGGCUUCCAACUACAUCUUAAAACAUGAAAAAUGGGGAGGAGAAGAAACUUUGGUCCUAACACCUAGCCAAGCCCUGUCUUGCUGUGUGAUCUUCAGCCUGAGGCACACCUUCUCUGGGCUUGAUCACCAAAGCCGCAAAUGCAGGGCAGAGCACUCAUGAGGUCUGCCCAAGAGCGAGGUUGGUAAAUGGCUGGCAGAACCACGGGCGUGGGACGUGUGGGAGGGUGGUGAGCCAUUCCCUCAUCACCCACGCCAGGGUAGUGUCAUGGGGGGACACGUGGGUGUCUCUGGGAAGGGCCUGGCACAGCCCCAGCACAUGGCAGGGGUCUAACCAUUCAAGACUCAUUCUGUGUCGUCGGACAUCCCGUCUCUUAGAAACCAGCUCCAGCCUGACGCGCAGAACAGCCUCCUGAGGUGUUGAGCGGUGAGCAAGAGUGACAAAAAGCAAAACGAAAUAAAAGAAUAGAGAAUCCAUGGGCGAGCAUGUACGGUGCUAUUCCUGCUAACGCAUCGUCCAAGGAAGGACAGUUGCCACGUUUCCUGGGAACGCUCCCCACCCGACCCCCGCCGGCAUCCCUGAGCCCGAGAUCAGCAGGUGGGGACCAGGGGAUGGGAAGAGUCUCCGCACUGCAAGGCCAUGGUCCACCCAGGUCCCACAGCCACCGCUGGGCCUGCUGCUGGGCACAGCUGCCCUCCUUCCCUGCCAAAGUCCAUCCCAUCUACAAAGCCUGUCUCCUCACUCACUCAUCCAGCAAACCUUUACUUCCAUGCCAAGCAGCGUGCUAGGUUCCAGGGAUACCAUCCAGUUCGAUUGGGUUGCUAACGACAGAACAAACCCAAAUCUCAUAUGGUUGCUUUUAAUGUUGUAUUUUCAUGUCCAGGUAGGCAGUAGGACUGAGAAGGUGGCCUCACAAUCAUCAGGACCCCAGGCCCCCUUAGUCUGGUUGCCCCAUCAAUCCCCAAAUAGGCCUUCUGCCUCAUGGUGCAAGACAGCUGCUGAAGCUCCAGCCAUCAUGUCUGCUUUCAUCCAGAAGGGAGGAAACAUUGGCAUACUCUUCCCAACCUCCUAACCCAAGUUUUUAUGGUCGCUGCUGGAUUCUGCACACACCACCUCUGCUUAUAGCCCCCGUGGCCACAGCUGGGCCCCUUGGGUGCUUGGAGCUGCAGGAGAGGCUCGGUCAUUUCUCCACCCCAGGGACUGUGUUUUCAGCUAAGAGCUGGACUCCUGCGCGGAGUAAGGAGGGAAGGAUGGUGUUACCCGGCAGUCUUGGCAUCAGGACACAGCCCUGUGCACCACCUGGCGACAGGCAGGGGUCAGCAGCCUGCACACCACACACGUGUGCUCCGGGAACCUGUGCCGAGGUUGUGCAGGAGUGAUUGGGGCGUGGAGGACCCCGGAGGAAAGGGGGGUCAGGGAAGGCCCCUCAGUGAGAAGACCAAAAUGGGUGAGACUUAAGGGGUAGCAUUUCUAGGGGUGAGCUGUGAGUACCAUGGCAAGAGAGGAGACAGCAACGUCCGCGUCCCACCGUCCUCUGUGGACACAUACUGACCCCUCCAGCUGCUCGGAGUUGUGGGGGCCGGACAGCCCAUCUCCUGCCUCCUCAUUUCACAGGGAGGAACCCAGCAGAGGAGGGGCAGGCACAGGGUCCGAGACCAGCCCCCAGCCACUCUGAGCCCAGCCCGUGUCCCCUAACCCCAGGCCCAGUCUCUGCCUCCUCAUCCUGGCACCUCCCCUCUCCACACACUCAGCCUGUAUCGGCCACGAAGUCACAGCCCUGUGGAGUCACUGGUGAACCCAGGGGACUUUAUUUUGUUCGGCUUUUUUUUUUUUUUUUUUGAGACAGGGUCUUGCUGUGUCGCCCAGCUGGAGUGUAGUGGUGCAAUCACAGCUCACUGCAGCCUUGACCUCCCAGGCUCAAGCGAUCCCCCCACCUCAGCCUCCCUGGGAGCUGGGACUGCAGGUGCAUGCUCAUGUUUUUGGAUUUUGUAUUUUUUGUAUUUGACACAGGGUUUCACCAUGUUGCCCAGGUUGGUCUCAAACUCCUGAACUCAAGUGAUUCACCUGCCUCGACCUCCCAAAGUGCUGGGACUACAAGCGUAAGCCACCGUGCUCAGCCUCUCUGUGACGGAACUCUGAAAACAGUGUCAUUCGCCAUUUCUUGUACAGUCAACAGCACGCAGUUUGGUUCUGAAUGUGUGAUUCUCGUGUGUCCACUGUUUGGAGUUAGACCGGGUACCUGAAUGAGACCAGGAUGCUUUAGGGACAGCGAGCGUCGUGGAUGUGUACCCUG